rnacentral:snRNA from 1 species
UUAGUUUGGUUAGGAAGGUAU